rnacentral:misc_RNA from 1 species
AGCUCAAUGCAAGUAAUAGGCAAAGAAUGAGACAAGGGAGGCCCCAACCAAGGAUCCAACAACAGGCAAAGUAGCUGAGGCACCACUUGAUGGGCCAGGGGCAGGGGCCAGGACCUCGUUGGCCGCCAUGACCGAGCUCAGAGAAGCAGCUGCAACAAUGACAGCAAUGGAUAUCUUCUUAAGCUCCAUUAUGAAUGUUUUGUGAUAAUUAGUCCCCAAGACCUGCCUUGCAGAUGAAGAAACAGAAGCUUUU